UACGGGGGGAGCGAGCGUUGUUCGGAAUCACUGGGCGUAAAGGGCGUGUAGGCGGUUCGGUAAGUGAGAUGUGAAAGCCCCCGGCUCACCCGGGGAUGUGCAUUCCAUACUGCUGGACUUGAGUGCGGAAGAGGAUGGGGGAAUUCCUGGUGUAGCGGUGAAAUGCGUAGAUAUCAGGAGGAACACCGGUGGCGAAGGCGCCCAUCUGGUCCGUUACUGACGCUGAUGCGCGAAAGCUAGGGGAGCGAACGGGAUUAGAUACCCCUGUA
rnacentral:rRNA from 1 species